UCAAUAGCCUAACGGCUGAACCAGCAACUUGGAGGAAUGUAUAGCUAAGGCUAAAUGUAUUAUGUAAUAAUACAGAUUCGAUUUAUUCGUAUAAAGUUCUAGAUAGAAUUAUGAUAAUGACAUUGUCUAUCUAUAAGUCUUGACUAACAUACGUGCCAGCAGUCGCGGAAAGACGUAAAAGACUAGUGUUAUUCAUCUUUAAUAGGUUUAAAGCGUACCUAGACGGUAAAUCAAGCCUUAACCGGGACUAAUUUUACUAGAGUUAGAUGUAAGGGUGCAUUAAUGUACUGUUGAGUGUAGAGAUGAAAUUCUAUUAUACCAGAUUAUUGGCACGGGUUUAGGCGAAAGCAUCGCCUUAUGUAAUAACUGACGUUGAGGGACGAAGGCUUUGUAUCGCGAACAGGAUUAGGUACCCCAGUAGUCUAAGCAGAAAAUGAUGAGUGUCAUAGGUUAAAUAUUAUUUGGUCUAUAAAUGAAAGUGUAAGCAUUCCACCUCAAGAGUAAUUUGGCAACAUUGGAAUUGAAAUCAUUAGACCGUUUCUGAAACCAGUAGUGAAGUAUGUUGUUUAAUUAGACAGCCCACCAAGAACCUUACCACAACUUGAAUAUUUUACAAGCGUUGCACGGCUGUCUUCAGUUAAUGUCGUGAGAUUAUGGUUAGUUCCAUUAAAUUAACGUAAACCCUUACUUUAUUUUUAGAUAAAGUUGUUCGCCGCUAGAUUGGUUAGAUAAAAGGGACUAAGACAAGUCAUCAUGGCCUUGAUGUUGUGGGCUAUAGACGUGCCACAUAUGCCUAACAAAGGGAUGCUAAAUUGCAAAAUUAA
rnacentral:rRNA from 1 species